UCGAUGAUCAUUUCGGUUCAUUUUGAUUUCAUCGUUCGUUUUGUCACUAAUUCAAAAAAGAUGUUGGAUAAAUCUUGAUACGGGAUUCAAACAAUCCCGAUUUGAAGAUGGUGAUUCAAUCGAAUGGUUCGUUCUAAAUGAAUCAAACGUGGUCUAUGAUGGAGGAUGGGAUUCAUUUUGGUUUC